rnacentral:rRNA from 1 species
UGGGGAAUAUUGGGCAAUGGGCGCAAGCCUGACCCAGCAACGCCGCGUGAAGGAAGAAGGCUUUCGGGUUGUAAACUUCUUUUGUCAGGGACGAAGCAAGUGACGGUACCUGACGAAUAAGCCACGGCUAACUACGUGCCAGCAGCCGCGGUAAUACGUAGGUGGCAAGCGUUAUCCGGAUUUAUUGGGUGUAAAGGGCGUGUAGGCGGGAAUGCAAGUCAGAUGUGAAAACUAUGGGCUCAACCCAUAGCCUGCAUUUGAAACUGUAUUUCUUGAGUGCUGGAGAGGCAAUCGGAAUUCCGUGUGUAGCGGUGAAAUGCGUAGAUAUACGGAGGAACACCAGUGGCGAAGGCGGCCUGCUGGACAAUAACUGACGCUGAGGCGCGAAAGCGUGGGGAGCAAGCAGG